GGGGGGCCCUGCUCUCUAGGCUGUCGUGGACGUGGUCUCCACAGGCCACAGCAGCACCUGUGAGUCCCUGGCCUUCUUCCCGGGGUCUGGCAGGUGCUGCUCAGGUGUGGGCUGAUCUGCCAGUGUGGGGAGUGGGGGUGGCUGUGCCCCAGGGUCAAGGGUCAUACCCUGUCGCCCACAGGACAAGUUGGAUGGCUUUGUUCCCGCACACUUUCUUGGCUGGUACCUGAAGACCCUGAUGAUCCGAGACUGGUGGAUGUGCAUGAUCAUCAGCGUGAUGUUCGAGUUCCUGGAGUACAGCCUGGAGCACCAGCUGCCCAACUUCAGCGAGUGCUGGUGGGAUCACUGGAUCAUGGACGUGCUCGUCUGCAACGGGCUGGGCAUCUACUGCGGCAUGAAGACCCUUGAGUGGCUGUCCCUGAAGACGUACAAGUGGCAGGGCCUCUGGAACAUUCCGACCUACAAGGGCAAGAUGAAGAGGAUCGCCUUCCAGUUCACGCCGUACAGCUGGGUUCGCUUCGAGUGGAAGCCGGCCUCCAGCCUGCGUCGCUGGCUGGCCGUGUGCGGCAUCAUCCUGGUGGUAAGGCCGGGCUGCCUCGCGACGGCGCGGCGGGCUGGGGGCCAGAGCUGGUGCUCACCCUCUCCUCCCCUAGUUCCUGUUGGCAGAACUGAACACGUUCUACCUGAAGUUUGUGCUGUGGAUGCCCCCGGAGCACUACCUGGUCCUCCUGCGGCUCGUCUUCUUCGUGAACGUGGGUGGCGUGGCCAUGCGCGAGAUCUACGACUUCAUGGAUGA
rnacentral:sRNA from 1 species